AUUGAACGCUGGCGGCAGGCCUAACACAUGCAAGUCGAGCGGAUGAAGGGAGCUUGCUCCUGGAUUCAGCGGCGGACGGGUGAGUAAUGCCUAGGAAUCUGCCUGGUAGUGGGGGAUAACGUCCGGAAACGGGCGCUAAUACCGCAUACGUCCUGAGGGAGAAAGUGGGGGAUCUUCGGACCUCACCCUAUCAGAUGAGCCUAGGUCGGAUUAGCUAGUUGGUGGGGUAAAGGCCUACCAAGGCGACGAUCCGUAACUGGUCUGAGAGGAUGAUCAGUCACACUGGAACUGAGACACGGUCCAGACUCCUACGGGAGGCAGCAGUGGGGAAUAUUGGACAAAGGGCGAAAGCCUGAUCCAGCCAUGCCGCGUGUGUGAAGAAGGUCUUCGGAUUGUAAAGCACUUUAAGUUGGGAGGAAGGGCAGUAAGUUAAUACCUUGCUGUUUUGACGUUACCAACAGAAUAAGCACCGGCUAACUUCGUG
rnacentral:rRNA from 1 species